rnacentral:lncRNA from 1 species
AUAAGUGGAUGCUGCGGCAGGAAACUUCAUUGACAUCUCAUGAUUUAUUUGACAUUGAUCCUGUUGUAGCCAGAUCAGUAUAUCACCUAGAAGACAUUGUCAGACAGAAGAAAAGACUGGAGCAGGAUAAAUCCCAGGUAGGUCUGGAGAGAUGUCCAGGGGAUUAGAUAAGUUCUCUGUUCUAGAAUUAUCAGGCUUAUUAAGUGGUUUGUAUUUGAUUGGGUUAAUCUUAUAGUAAUAUUUUUUUUUUUAUAAUUAAAAAGAGAUUUGUUUAUCUUGAUGAGUGUUGUGCCUGCAUGUGUGUCUGUAUACAAUGUGCAUCACUUGGAAGCCAGAAGAUGACAUCAGAUUCUCUGGACUUUAUAUUCUAGGCAAUUGCUGGCCUGCCUCAUGGUGCUAGGAAAUGAACCCAGGUCCUCUGCAAGAGGAACAAGUACUCUUUAGGCACAGAGCCAUCUCUUUAUCUCAGCAAUAUUUCAUUUUAAUAGAGAGAUGCUUUCUGUUAAAAUGUGCUAAUGUGUGCUAAUAGAAAUACAAUUUCACAGUAUACCCUCCGUGAUAGUUAAUAAUAGCAAAUAGAUGUCAUGUUUCCAAGUAAAUUAUACUUCUAGUGGAAAUUAUAAGACCACUUGUCUUGAAUUUUAGAUAGGCAUAAGCGGAUACCUUCUCAUUGAAUUCUUCAGAAAGGUGCUUCUCUGUUUCUCUUUCUCCCCUCCUCUCCAUCAGAUUAUGUGCUUGCAUUGCAAGGUUAUAUCACUACACCCAGCUUGGAAAUUGGUUUUUAAUGAUUAUCGAUAGGCUGGGGCUAUACAGCUCAAGUGUAAAGCACUUAACCUAGUAUGUAUAAAGUACUGGACUCAGUUCUCCCUCCCUCCUUCUCUCUCUUUCUCCCUCCCUUCUUCCUUUCCUAGACAAGGUUUUUAGGCAUUCCAUAAAUUUGCUAUCUAGCCAAGGAUUAUCUUAAAUCACAAAAUGCUAGAAUGAAAGGUGUACAACUAGCUGAGCUAUAUCCUUUGCCCAGUGUCUCUUUUUUUUUUUUUUAUAAAACAUUACAAAUUGGGCACAUUUUCCUGGCUCAGAUUUGACCUGUUUAUAUGCUAGGGACCACAUCUGCCUCUGCUUGUCGGCUAGGCAAGCACAGAGGUAGAUACUCCUAGGCCCUUGAGCUGGUAGACUAAAUUCUUCCAAGAUGAAUGGUAAUGUAUCUAGUAGAGUGAUCUAGUAUAAAAGCCAGAGAAACUAACAGUGCAUUGUUCUUUAAACAUGUUCUGGAUGUUACUGCAUGUUACAGAUGGCUGUGUGAUCAGGGGGAAGAGAGUUUGAAACUACUUUAAUCUGUGACUGGUUGUUUAUAGACGGGUUUGUUUUCUUUUAAAAAAAAAAGUUUGUACAAAAUCAUAGGUUUCUUUUGGAUGUUUUUAUAUGCAUCGUUGGAGUUUAUGCAUUUUUUCCCUCUUCCUUCCCCCUCUCCACUAUUAAUUUUCUUUCCCCCAAGGUAGUACCCUUUUUGCUUUCCUGUUGUGUGUAAAUAUAUGGGCAGGUGUGUAAAUGUAUUAGAUAUAACUCUCUAGAUUAUUCAUGAAAGCAGACCUUAGGUAUGUCCAGUGUUCCCCUUCCUUGACUUUGCUCCUAUAACCUCGUUUGCCCAUCCAUAGUCAUGAAGGACAGUUUGAGAGCUUCCUAGUGGAGCAACAUUCAAUUUCAAUAGUACUUACAUUUUUGUGUUUGCCAUUGAUCCUUGCUGCUUUAAAAAAAAAACAAAAAAAUAAAAACAAACAUUUUGUGUAGACCUUUCAAGUUGUAGGCCGAUUAAAAAUACCCCGUGUUUGAUGUGAUUUGUUUUGGCUUUUUUGAAGCAGCCACCUUUCUCCCCCUCGCCUGCACUCGCACCCACACACACAACACACACAGGAGACUGAAAAGUUAACACCUCUAGUGUGUGCUUUCUAUUUGAGCCUUGUAGGGGACGGGGAAAAGUUUAUUACCAUUACUAGGUAGUACAUUAUCUGUAUUGUUGUCUACAUAUUUUACUCUUGAGUAUAUACUUAGUUUAUAUUGGCCU